rnacentral:lncRNA from 1 species
UGGGGAGAGGCUUGAAAUUGGCAGAAAUGUAGUUCUUCCAUUUCCUUAGUAGAGGAUAGUUUUAGCUAAUUAGUUCAUCCUUCUUUUAUAUUAGCUAGAUUAGGAUGAAAAUGAAGGAUGAAGAAGGCAAGGAGUGAACUCAUGUGACAAGGGUUACAUUCCUUCCAAACUCUUUAUCUUUUGUACUUGAUUCUAUUGUUGGUUAAUAUAUAAGUCUGAAUUUUAUGUUAUUUAUGUGUUUCUAAAGUUUAUGCCUUGGGUUUGGUUGAACUUUCUAUAAUUGUUAGUGUUUAUUAUUUGGUUAUUUGAUUGCUAUGAUUUGAACAAGUUAUUUGGCACUUUGGCUCUUUAAAUCAUGAUUAAUCUGGUACCAUUAAUUGUGAUUAUCUAAGGUGUUAUUUCCGCAAUGAAAAUUGGAAUUUAACAUUAGUUCAAUAAGUGCUAAACAUAGGGAGUACACUCAUGAAAGUAGAGGUACACCUAUAUGGUUUUUAAUGAUUCAUUUCAUAUAAUUUCACUGAAAAAAUUAACUUGUAGCUAAUUUUAUAACCAUGAGAAUAGGUAUGGAUCAGUUAUAAGUAUAAUUGAUUCACUACGAAAGUAGGAUUCAAAUGCAUAAGGAAAUUACACUAUAACUAGCCUAGAUGUAGUACUCAAUGAUUCAAAUAUAGCACUUGCAUGAGUAGUUAGGGAUACCACAACCUCAGGAGCUUUUAUUUGUUAUUUUGUAUAAUUUCAGUAGGUUAAAUUUGUUAUAACUCAUUGAUAGUCUAAAUAAUAAAGAAACUUUAGUAAUACCGGUAAUUGUUCACUCUUCCCUGUGGAAUCGAUCCGAUAUAUACUCUAAACUACUAGUUGAUUUGUAUACUUACAGUGAACGGGUGUAUUUCGGUUUUUUAACUUGUAUGUAUAUGUAAAAUACCCGUCAGCAUCAUCUCUGAAUUCUUUAUGGUAAAGGAGUAUUGAUCCACGCUUUGACUCGAAAUCUUUGAUAUGCAGUUUUCCCUCCUGCAAUUUAGCUUUGUCACCAUGGUAAAGGAGAAUGGAUUCGGGCUUUGAUUCAAAAUCCUUUAUGAGUGGUUUCUCUUCCUCACCGCUGUGGUAAGGGAGUAUGGAUUCAGGCUUUGACUCAAAAUCCUCCAUAAGCGGUUUCUCUUCCUUGUUGCUAUGGUAAAGGAGUAUGGAUUCAGGCUUUGACUCGAAAUCAUUCACUGGUGGUUUCUCCUCAUCGCUGCAGUAAAGGAUAAUGGAUUCAUGUUUUGACUGAAAUUCUUUCAUCUGUGGUUUCUCCUCCUUCAACUUAGCUUUGUCACCAUGGUAAAGGAGAAUGGAUUCAAGCUUUGACUCGAAAUCAUUUACAAGCGGUUUCUUCUCAUUGCUAUGUUAAAAGAAAAAGGAUUCAGGUUUUGACUCAAAAUCCUUCAUCUGUUGUUUCUCUUCCUUCAACUUAGCUAUGUCACUAUGGUAAAGGAGAAUGGAUUCAGGCUUUGACUCGAAAUCCUUCAUUUGUGGAUUCUCUUCCUUCGAGUU